UACAUACUUCUUCAUAUGCCCAUAUGGAGUCGGCCGGCUAUGGAAUGUUAAGAAGUAUGUAUC
rnacentral:pre_miRNA from 1 species